rnacentral:rRNA from 1 species
UACGAAGGGGGCUAGCGUUGUUCGGAAUUACUGGGCGUAAAGCGCACGUCGGCGGAUACUUAAGUCAGGGGUGAAAUCCCGGGGCUCAACCCCGGAACUGCCUUUGAUACUGGGUAUCUCGAGUCCGGAAGAGGUGAGUGGAAUUCCGAGUGUAGAGGUGAAAUUCGUAGAUAUUCGGAGGAACACCAGUGGCGAAGGCGGCUCACUGGUCCGGUACUGACGCUGAGGUGCGAAAGCGUGGGGAGCAAACAGG